rnacentral:lncRNA from 1 species
UUACACAGUAUUCACAGGCAAUUGAAGGAGUAAAAUGUUGGUGAGUGUCACAGCAGAUAUUCUUGCAUAACGUUUUCAAAAGUUGGAAUUUUUUUUUCCUUUUGCAGAUGGCUUACGUUGUUUGUUUUGUUUGCCUCUAUGUCAGCUUGGAAGAUAAUCAAAUCAACGUGGAGAGUUAACAGAUCCUGAAUUAAUCACCUCCUCUUGACUAUUGAACCCUUCUCAUCCACCAUCAAGAAAACAAUACAGUAAGUAAAAUAAAUCUGAAUUAAUGUAAAGGGGUUAAUAAGCU